rnacentral:rRNA from 1 species
UACGAAGGGGGCUAGCGUUGCUCGGAAUCACUGGGCGUAAAGGGUGCGUAGGCGGGUCUUUAAGUCAGGGGUGAAAUCCUGGAGCUCAACCCUCAGAACUGCCUUUGAUACUGAGGAUCUUGAGUUCGGGAGAGGUGAGUGGAACUGCGAGUGUAGAGGUGAAAUUCGUAGAUAUUCGCAAGAACACCAGUGGCGAAGGCGGCUCACUGGCCCGAUACUGACGCUGAGGCACGAAAGCGUGGGGAGCAAACAGG